GAAAUACCGAGAAAGCCCCUGGCCCGGGCCGUUGCUGCUUCCCCCAUCUGCGUCGUCUCCUCCGUCGAACUCCUCAGAACAGAAACCCGCAUUUCCAGGUUAGGGUUGUCUCCAUCACAGUCGCAGAGAGAGAGAGAGAAAGCUAGAGAGAGAGAGAGAGAGAGAGAGGAGAGAGAGUGGCCUCUUUUUGAACCAGAACGGCUUCUUCUUCCAUAGAGGGAGAGGGAGGGGGGCGAAAUGGAGGAGGAGGAGGGCGUGGAGAUGGAGAUGGAGGUGGAGAUGGCGGAGGAGGAGGAGGGGGAGGUGUUCGUGGUGCGCGAGAUCGACCCCGACUACGAGUACGAUGCCCCCCAGCACUUCGACUUCUCCCGCGAGGAGUCCGCGGCGGAGGCGCGCGACGCCGAGCUCUGGUUCGAGUCCGCCGGGAGCUACCCGCCUUCCCCUUUUGUGGUGAAAUUGAUUCUGAGAGAUGAAAUCCUGUCAAAGAAUGUGAACAUCUCUCCGAAAUCCAAAAUGAUGGAGACUGAUUCUCAUGUCCGAUUCGGCGAAAUUGAUGCUGGCACUGAAGAACUCGAAGCUGUUCAACCAAAUAGCAAAGAUUGCGAUGCGAUGGCUAAAGGAAAAGGAAUAUUCACCAAGUUUCAGAUUGAAAAUCUACAGAAACCUGAGAGGCAGCCGCUAGGAUUUUCUGAAGGACUGAGAUCUUAUAAUCACAUAUCAUGCAACACGAUAAAAGCUAAAUCCAGGACAUCAGUCAAGCCUUGUCUACCAAGGAGCUCAACAUUAAUGAAGCCAACUGCAAGUAUGUUGGCCAAGCAAAAUCAGCCAUCUCAAGUUGCGAGCUCCAGAUUUCAGGUGCAAACAAGUCAGAUCAGUGGGAAGAGCUUGGGUGGUUCUUCUGCUGGUGAGGGUCAAGCAACUAAGAGACAGAAGUUAGAUGGGGGUCAUUCGCGGAAGGUUGGUGAAGUAAAGCAGCAGACUGAUUUUGUCCACAAGGCACCUAAAAAGGAUGCAAUAGUCGAGAAGAACCCUCAUUCAAAGCUGAGGCUUACCAUUCCUCGGGAGCCGGAGCUUGAAACAGCUCAAAGGGCACAAAGGGCGAGGCCAAGAAACACAAGUGAUGAGGAACAAUCAACAGUGACUGUACGCAAAUUCAAAGCAAGACCUUUGAAUAGAAAAAUUUUCGAGGCUCCUUCUCUGCCACUUCCAAAAAAGAGCAUUCCGAGAAUGCCGGAGUUUCAAGUUUUCCACCUGAAGACCCUGGAAAGAGCUAUGGAGCAUAAUUUAGGUGCUACAUCGUCCUUGUUGCAUGAAUCUGAUAAGGAAUUGCUGAAAUCCUGUCCAGUUGCAGAAAAAGAACCCAGGAGUCCUCGAAGAACCACUGGUGUGGAUGCUUCCAGGCUGGAUGGAACCUGCUCAAUGUAUGCUUUUAAGGCUCAUCCGCUCAAUAAAAAGAUUCUUUCAAGUAAAGGAGACAUUGGGGUCUUCAGAAAUAAAAAGCGGGAAGCAACGGUGCCUAUGGAAUUUAAGUUCAAUAAUGAGAAAAGGAUUCAGCAUAAUCCGCCGACGGAACUUUUUAGCAAGCUGUCCCUAAAACCUGAACUCCAGCCCAGUAAUGGAUCUUAUUCUCAGCGAAAAUCAUGUCAGCCCCCCCGUGUCUCCAUGAAGAAAAUAGAUUCCAUACUCUACAGCAAAACCUUGAGGUGACAAAUUUGGUGAAGGAGAGAACUCCCUUUGGGGAAAAGCAAUCCCAAUAUGGAAAUGGAAUUGCCACUACUGAAGCAGGCACCAGAUUUAGUGCGAGGAGUUUGGGCAUUCGCUGAUGGCUGAGAGGAUGUUGCCACAUUGGUUAUUUGUUGAUUCUUGCGCCGUUGAAGGAUGGUUACAUAUUGGUCCAUGUUAAUGCUCAUCUUCAUUAUUCAACUCCCAUAGGAAGUUUACUCACGAUACAGCUGACCUCGACAUCAAAGAGAUGCACUCCCAAAAAUUGAGCUAACCCCUGUUUUACCUGAAGUAAGCCUGAGUCAGCCAUACCCGAAAUAAACACAGCAGCAGGUACUGACUGUACAGAAUUUCAUAAAAACCUUCUCACAGUCUGAACCAUCCUUGUCCACACUGUCCUGUGGCAGUUGUUAUUACCCAUCUUGGGCUACUAGAUUUGUGAGAAGCAUGUACAAAACAUCAUCAUAUUGAGGGUGAUGAUCAAGUAUAUUACAGGAUACUUUCUAGA